AAAGCCUUAGCUUAAUAAAAGUAUCUGACUUGCAUUCAGAAGAUGUGAGUUAAUAUCUCACAGGUUUUA
rnacentral:tRNA from 1 species